rnacentral:rRNA from 1 species
CCUACGGGAGGCAGCAGUGAGGAAUAUUGGUCAAUGGACGAGAGUCUGAACCAGCCAAGUAGCGUGAAGGAUGACUGCCCUAUGGGUUGUAAACUUCUUUUAUAAAGGAAUAAAACGAGGCACGUGUGCCUUUUUGCAUGUACUUUAUGAAUAAGGAUCGGCUAACUCCGUGCCAGCAGCCGCGGUAAUACGGAGGAUCCGAGCGUUAUCCGGAUUUAUUGGGUUUAAAGGGAGCGUGGAUGGGUUGUUAAGUCAGUUGUGAAAGUUUGCGGCUCAACCGUAAAAUUGCAAUUGAUACUGGCAGUCUAGAGUACAGGUGAGGUAGGCGGAAUUCGUGGUGUAGCGGUGAAAUGCUUAGAUAUCACGAAGAACCCCGAUUGCGAAGGCAGCUUACUAAACUGUGACUGACAUUGAUGCUCGAAAGUGUGGGUAUCAAACAGGAUUAGAUACCCUUGUAG